rnacentral:rRNA from 1 species
UACGAAGGGGGCUAGCGUUGCUCGGAAUCACUGGGCUUAAAGAGUGCGUAGGCGGCUUAUCAGGCGGGGUGUGAAAUCCCUCGGCCCAACCGAGGAAUAGCGCUCCGAACUGAUAGGCUUGAGGAGGAUAGAGGUAAGCGGAACAGAUGGUGGAGCGGUGAAAUGCGUUGAUAUCAUCUGGAACACCUGUGGCGAAAGCGGCUUACUGGGUCCUUUCUGACGCUGAGGCACGAAAGCCAGGGUAGCGAACGGG